AUGGCUGUCGUCAGCUCGUGUCGUGAGAUGUUGGGUUAAGUCCCGUAACGAGCGCAACCCUUGUCCUUAGUUGCCAGCACUUCGGGUGGGAACUCUAAGGAGACUGCCGGUGACAAACCGGAGGAAGGUGGGGAUGACGUCAAGUCAUCAUGGCCCUUAUGGCCUGGGCUACACACGUGCUACAAUGGCCGGUACAGAGGGUUGCCAAGCCGCGAGGUGGAGCCAAUCCCAGAAAGCCGGUCGCAGUCCGGAUCGCAGUCUGCAACUCGACUGCGUGAAGUCGGAAUCGCUAGUAAUCGUGAAUCAGAAUGUCACGGUGAAUACGUUCCCGGGCCUUGUACACACCGCCCGUCACACCAUGGGAGUGGGUUGCAAAAGAAGUGGGUAGCAUAACCUUUUGGAGUGCGCUCACCACUUUGUGAUUCAUGACUGGGGUGAAGUCGUAACAAGGUAGCCGUAGGGGAACCUGCGGCUGGAUCACCUCCUUAACGAGAACUCAGUAGCCUCUCGGUAAAGUGCCUACCUCUAUUACUUGAUCCUGUAGAUUUUUAGAACAGUUAGUCUUAUAGAUGGGGCUAUAGCUCAGCUGGGAGAGCGCCUGGUUUGCAUCCAGGAGGUCUGCGGUUCGAUCCCGCAUAGCUCCACCAACUACUUUAGAGCAAAUUUCAAAGGGGUCAGAAUUUCACUCUGACCCCUUUGAAAUUCUGAAGACCGUUCUUUAACAAUUUGAUGAAUGAAGACAUAUAUAUGUUUGUUAUAUUGUGUUGGAUCGUGCGCGUUUGUGAUGAUCGCGUAGGUGAAGGCGCAGUACCAAUUUUAUGUAUGCUGUAAUUUUAACAAGUUAUACAAGUGCAAAAUCUGUACGGAAAAGUCGUUAUUAGUUGUUUGAAGUAUUCUGUGUAGUUGUGAGUUUUUUUUGGCUGAGAGGCCAUCUUUUGGGGGCGGAAUUAAAGGGCUGUCCUCGAUCGAACUAAGGCAGAGCUUAUGAUUAUAUGGUCAAGCAAUGAAGCGUACGUGGUGGAUGCCUUGGCAGCUAGAGGCGAUGAAGGACGUGGUAGGCCACGAAAGGCUUCGGGGAGCAGUCAAACAUGCUUUGAUCCGGAGGUAUCCGAAUGGGGAAACCCGG
rnacentral:sRNA from 1 species